UGGUGGAGUGAUUUGUCUGGUUAAUUCUGAUAACGAGCGAGAUUUUGGCGGGCUAAGUAGGGGGCCGUGCGGGAGCAGGGUGGCCUUCUUAGACGGACACGGUCGCGGGAAGUGACAGGAAGAGCGAAGCAAUAACA
rnacentral:rRNA from 1 species